GUGAAGCGGCAAAAGCUCAAAUUUGAAAUCUGGCACUAUUCGUGUCUGAGUUGUAAUUUGGAGAGGCAACUUCAGGUGGGACCCAGUCUAUAUUCCUUGGAACAGGAUGUCAUAGAGGGUGAGAAUCCCGUUCAUGGCUGGAUGUUCCCGUUAGUAUGUAGUGCCUUCUACGAGUCGAGUUGUUUGAGAAUGCAGCUCAAAAUGGGUGGUAAAUUUCAUCUAAAGCUAAAUAUGGGCGAGAGACCGAUAGCGCACAAGUAGAGUGAUCGAAAGAUGAAAAGCACUUUGAAAAUAGAGUCAAAAAGUACGUGAAAUUGUUGAAAGGGAAGCGCUUGAGACCAGACAUAGCCUAUGGCAAACAACUGUCCUUCUGGGUAGUGCACUUGUCAAAGGUUAGGCCAGCAUCAGUUAGGAUGGUGGGAGAAAGACUAGGAGAAUGUGACUCCAAUUUGGAGUGUUAUAGAUCCUGGUGUCAUGCCAUCUGUCCUGACUGUGGACCGCGCUUCGGCUAGGAUGCUGGC
rnacentral:rRNA from 1 species